rnacentral:rRNA from 1 species
CUCGAAGUCUCUUGCGGGUGGAUUCAGUCAGGAGUCUACGAACCUCCGUCGGUACGUGACCUUUAAAAGAAGGGACUCCGGUCGGUAGGCGUGACUCGGCGGAGCCUGACGCAUUUCCAACCCGCACUGAAGGACGCCGCAGCCGGUUGGGUAGCUGCGCGUGUCGGCCAUGAGGUGGGGCAGUGGCAGUAGACCGUUUCUCGUUAAAAAGUGACGAUUGCCGGUUGUUUAGCCAGCCCUUCCGUGGCGCGACACCCGACUGAGGUUCUGGAGGUUCCACUUUGGUGGGACCUCGCCGUCCCCUCACAAAUAGACACCCGUAAAAAGAGUGUUGUGUUCGAGAGCGGACCGGCGGACAGGCGAGUUGCUGCGCUAUACUGCUUCAGUCACCGAACUGGGUGGUGCGUAGUGGCCGCCGGUGGUCCGACAUUCCGGUUAAACCGCGAUGGGAAAGUGAUUUGAUGGCUUGUGGCGAGUAGGUCGGUCACCCACCCGACCCGUCUUGAAACACGGACCAAGGAGUCUAACAUGUGCGCGAGUCAUGGGGUCUUGUUUAGGCCCAGAGGCAUAAUGAAAGUGAGAAUCCACAAAGUCUUCGGACUUUGUACGUGUUGGGAUUUCCCGAGGAGUUCUAGCCCGAGGAAAGCACCAACGACCCGCCCGUUCUUGAUUUUAAUAUAAGUGUGGACGGCGUUUGAGCGCACACGUUGGGACCCGAAAGAUGGUGAACUAUGCCUGGGCAGGACGAAGCCAGAGGAAACUCUGGUGGAGGUCCGCAGCGGUU